rnacentral:rRNA from 1 species
GACGUAGGGGGCAAGCGUUAUUCGGAAUUAUUGGGCGUAAAGCGCUCGUAGGCGGGACUGGAAGUCCGUGUUGAAAGACCUCGGCUCAACUGAGGGACCGGCUCGGAUACUCUAGUUCUUGAGGCAAUCAGAGGGUGAUGGAAUUCCCGGUGUAGCGGUGAAAUGCGUAGAGAUGCGGAGGAACACCGAUGGCGAAGGCAGCCCCCUGGGCUAACACUGACGCUCAGGCACGAAAGCGUGGGGAGCAAACAGG